CUCCAUUUUCUCAACCUGGAAAGUAGAGAUAACAUUUAGACCCAGAGGGGAAAGCAAGGGUGUCUAGUUCAACCCACACAUUUCACAAAGGCAGAUACACAGAGGCUUGGGAGGUGAACUGACAUUCAAGACUAGACAGCUACCUCAGAGGAAGACGCCUGGGAAGAGGACAGCCAUAGCCUUCAGCCAUGUCCAACUCACCACUUAAAAAGGCCCCUCAAAUGGUUUUAAGUGGGUUUUCAAGCUUGAGGAUGGCGAGCAAUCCUAGGAUAAGGAAGAUCCAUCCAGAAGCACUGGGGAAAACAAACGGCACCGACAAUGAAAACCAGGAAAAAAGAACACACACACGCCCUUCAUAAUGGAUGAUCCCAGCACUUCUUGGGGACCACAGUCCUGGAAGCACAGCAGCAGGCUCAUGGGCUGCAUUCCCUCGGGUCGCGCUGGGUUUAAUGCUCUCCUGUCAUGAUUUUGGAAUUUUUAGUAACUUAAGAUCAAGGAAUCUGAUAUUUUACUUUUGCAUUGGGCCCCUCAAAUCUUGUGGCCGGUCCUGCCUCACCCCCGCCGCACCCCACCCCCAGCCAUAAAGGGGCGGCUGGUCUCUACUGCCCCCGUCCCUCCCCAGACAAAUAAGCUCAAACAAAAGCCCCUGGAGCUUCAGGAGGGGAAGGAUGUAGUGGAAAAGGUCUGGGGAGCAUUAGGAGUCUGUAUCCUAGGGCAAGAGGCCGACUGACCAGCUGCCUUUUCCAUAGCUGACAAAACAAAGAUCAAUAUAAAAAUGACCCCCCGCCCUGGGCCACCCCACCACCCCAGCCCCGCGCUGCCUGAGUCUUUGCCUGGCGUGAUGCUCCUGUGCGCCCUGCUCCGGACUCAAGGCUUCCAGUACUGACGGAAGCGGCUCAGUGUGCCCGUGGGGAAAGUGGGGAAGUGCGAGUCCCUCACAGGCUGAGAGAAUCUACUAGAAGGGGCCGCACCGCGGGCACUGUCCGCUUCCGCCCGCCGGGCCGAUCUCGCGAACGCCGCGGCUGCGGGAAAGUUUAGGGACGGUUGACUAGUGGCGCGGCGCUCUCGCCAGGAGGGUAACCUCUCGCCUCGGCCUCCCCGGGUCUCAAGGGCGAAAAACCUAGAGGACACGGAGGGCGAGCGCUCCAGACGUCGGAGCCGGAGUCCGGCGCCGGGCCGCGAACACCAAAUCCCGCAGGCGGCGCGGGGCCACGGUGGGGGCGGAGUUACAGCGUAGGGGCGGGGUUUCAGCAGAGGCUCUGGUUCUCUUGUGACAC
ensembl:lncRNA